ensembl:snRNA U6 U6 spliceosomal RNA
UUGCUUCAGCGGCACAUAUACUAAAAUUGGAACAAUUCAGAGAAGAUUAGCAUGGCCCCCGCACAUAGAUAACAUGCAAAUCCGUGAAGCAUUCAAAUAAAAA